CGGCCGCGUCGACACCCUGUUGCUGUAGCCAAAUUCGCGGCCGCGUCGACGAGGUGUCAUGGAGGUAGAGCUACCAAUAGGGCUAGGGGGCUUCACCGCCUACCAACCCCUGAUGAACUCCGAAUGCCAUGACAUCAUACCGGCAGUGAGGCUAUGGGUGCUAAGGUCCAUAGCCGAGAGGGGAACAACCCAGACCAACAGCUAAGGUCCCCAAAUAGAUAUUAAGUUGAAUUUAACGAUGUGAGGAUGCAGUGACAGCUAGGAUGUUUGCUUGGAAGCAGCAAUUCAUUUAAAGAGUGC
rnacentral:rRNA from 1 species